rnacentral:lncRNA from 1 species
AGAUCUAGCCAGCAGUUCUCAACCUGUGAGUUGCAAACACUGGAAAACAGGUAUUUCUGAUGGUCUUAGGAACUGAGACACCACUCCUCUAAAAAGUUACAGCUAUGAAGUUACAAAAUAACUUUACAGUUACAAAAAUAACUUUCUGGUGAGGGGGAGUCACCACAACAUGAGGAACUGCAUUAAAGAGUCAAAGCACUAGGAAGGUUGAGAGCCACUGAUCUAGGUAGGAAUGAUUAAUUUUUCAUUUUCUGUGCACUUUCCUGCAUUUUAAAAACAAAAGUAUUUAUUUUUGGCUUGAGGUAUCUGUGUCUUUGAGUUUGUAUGCAGCUUAUUUUUAUUCUCAUUUUCUCUAGGGAUUUUUAUGUUAGGAUCAUCUAGCUAAAUAUAAGUCUCCUGACAGUGAUGCAUAUAAAUGCAGGAGAUAAAAAUCAUGUUUAACCUGAGCCACACUUGCACGCCUAGAGAGCCAUCUGUGGUAUAGAUGGCUUCUAAGUGAGCGUCAUGAAGGAACUCAGCUGUCCUCACCACCCCGCAAACCCACCCCUGUGUGUGUUUGCCUCCCCUGGAAGAAAUUGCGGCCACCUUUCAGAGUUCGUCAAGUUUUUCUGUUUAAGAACAGUUUCAUUCUAAAUAACAAGAUAAAAAUUUAGUCUUACACAGUCUCAUAUUACAAUUCAUCACUUCCAUCUGAUUUAAAUUUUACAUCUUUGGGAGGCAGAGACAGGCAAAUUUGUGAGUUCGAGGCCAACCUGCACCGACUCUAGACUCUCUUCCCAAAUC